GCAGCAGCCCUGGCUACAAUGUGCUCCGCAGGCGAAUGGUGCCUCUGGGGCUGACCAGGCGGUGCUGGUUGCCAGGAUCUGAGGUGGCCUCGGAGUAAUCAAGCAAGCAAGCAGGCAAGGGAGCCCAGCUAGCCAGUUGACCAGCUCUUGCUGUUGGGAAUGGACAGAUAAGUGGGAGGCUGGGCAAGCAGACUGGCCUUUCUUGUGCUUGCUGUGUCAAGACCUGCCUGGGAGCUGAGUGCCCGGUGCCUUUCCACCGUGCAGGUCCCGGGCAGCGCCUGCUGCUGCCCCUACUGCCUCCCAAGGUAUACAAAUGUGCAAGGAAUUCUGGGUUGCCCACUGCAGCAGUCACCUGGGCAGCAGCAUGCAGUAGCAUCUCAUCAGACUGUGGCUGGAAUAGGUUGUAUGUAAAAAGUUUUCCAUGCAUUUUCCUCAUCGAAAAGUCAGGACCAUAAAGCGUCACGAACCCGGAAGGAGGAAAGUCCAAAGAUGCAGCUCGGCUCCAUAGCAGUAAUCAAGUAUUGACUGACACAAGGAUUCCCUUUACAAAUAAUGAAGAUUUAUAUAGAAGUACUUCCAACCUGGGAGUUCCAUUAUUAUUGAAAAGAAAGAAUCUAUAUAGCCUUAGAUGUGUCAAACAUUUGCAUAUACAGUGACCACAUGCUUCGAUAUUUGUAUAAGAAAUAAAAUUAUGUCAUAUGUGAAAUAAACCGAUUGUUUGAGCUCUGCCCUUCAGGUGCUUUCGGUUUAUGAGCGUUAACUUUAUUUUGUACUAUUAAAUUGCUAAUGGAUUAUUGAAUAUUUCUUCAUUUGAUAUGAAUCGUUCCCUUUUAAAGUUAUGUUUUAUUAUGAGCUUUUGUACUGGGUCAGCUUAAAACAAGGUGUGUGUUCUUUGUUGUCUAUUUUGUUGCUGUAAACCGCCUUGUGUUUAGCCAUAUAGAAAGAUGGUAUACAAAUUAAAAUUGAAAUGAAAUGAAAUGAAGAAGGGCAAUUUACAUAA